GGUGAACGCUGGCGGCGUGCUUAAGACAUGCAAGUCGAACGGCAGUCUUCGGACUGUAGUGGCGCACGGGUGAGUAACGCGUAACUGACCUACCCCAAAGUCGCGGAUAACGAUUCGAAAGAAUCGCUAAUACGUGAUGUGCUGUCAGAUUGUGUUCUGCCAGUAAAGAUUGGUUGCUUUGGGGUGGGGUUGCGUUCCAUCAGCUAGUUGGUGGGGUAAAGGCCCACCAAGGCGACGACGGAUAGCCGGCCUGAGAGGGUGGCCGGCCACAGGGGCACUGAGACACGGGUCCCACUCCUACGGGAGGCAGCAGUUAGGAAUCUUCCACAAUGGGCGAAAGCCUGAUGGAGCGACGCCGCGUGAGGGAUGAAGGUCUUCGGAUCGUAAACCUCUGAAUCAGGGACGAAAGACACUUCGGUGGGAUGACGGUACCUGAGUAAUAGCACCGGCUAACUCCGUGCCAGCAGCCGCCGUAAUAC
rnacentral:rRNA from 1 species